AGGUUUCUACCUGACCCCAAAAUGUUCUGCCUUCCUCCCUCACCACUCCUUGUUUAUCCCAAAGAGGAUGAUCUUCCCCAAAUAGAGGAGGACUGGUCAAGGGUAUACGAGUAGCUGCGCUCCCCUGCUAGAACCUCCAAACAAGCUCUCAAAUGCUGUGGGAUAUCUUUCUAUAUGCUGUGAAAAUAUGUUGCUGUGAUUGGUUAAU
rnacentral:snRNA from 1 species